UGGAAAGUGUGUCUGAUGGAUGUGAAGGUU
rnacentral:piRNA from 1 species